UCCUGGUUAGCUCAAUUGGUAGUGCGCUCCACUGAAAAUGCAGAGAUCCCUGGUUUGAUAUCAUGACCAGGUG
rnacentral:tRNA from 1 species